UAUACGUAUAUGUUCUAUAUUUGCCCUUAAACGCUACAUUAUACAUUGACUCGCUGAUGACACCAUCAGGGCUCAGGUCGAGGCAUUUUCAAUCCGCUCCAAAUCUCUCCCCCUUCUAGGAUGCUUCCAAGACCCCAUCAAGCGGGCACAGGCAGGGAGAGACGUUGCUAGGGAAAAGGGAUCAUUGCCAAGUUCUGGCCCACAGCAGCAUAUGCUUCACGGUGACAAUGUAAUCCCCAUGCGCCAAGCCAAGAGAUCUUGUGUGGUGACCUGGGUGUUUCUCCACGGCUCUUUGUGAGACAACAGCCAUCAAGGAUCUACAGCUGGAUGUAAGAAAUCUCGUGAGUGGUUAGUGGCCAUGCUGUCUGCCACCUAAAUAAGGUCAGCCUGUGGCACGAAAGAAGAAUUCUGCUGACACGCCGAGAGAAACCAAGGCAAGAGCUACUGAAAGAGACUUACUGGCUGUCACAGGCAUGGCUCCUGAGUUCCUUAAGCUCAGCUGCUCUUUUACCCUCCUUGGGGUUUACUUGGUCUAGUUUCCAGAUCUAAGAAAUCAGGAGAACACCACCAUCUUUCAAGGCUUGGAGUCUUUGACAUGUUGGAAGUUCCAGAUUUCUGUAACACCGUGGGAUCAAAGCCUUGAAGCUCUUCUGCGUACGUCACCAUCAUGAGCCAAGGAGAGACCUUCGAAAAAGACAACAGAUAGCUCCCUUUCACACACACCAUGUUAGCACAGUACUUGGUGUCCACACGCCAUGAUCAUAAGGCCAGAAUCAUCUCGAAGAUUGACGAUGGCAAAUUCUUUGACACACUGCCCAUCCAGAGGCGAAGUCUACGUCCCAUCCCCUUGAAUCUGAGUGGGCUCUAUUUCCACUCUGAUAGAAUAUGGCAGAAGUGACACUGUGCCGGUUCCCAAAGCCAGGCCUUAUGAAGCUGGCAGUUCCCAUCCUCUGUCAUUUGGAACACUGUCUCUGGGAGCAUCGGACUUCAAACCCUCAGGCCACCAUGCUGAUGCAGCCCGAUGUAGGUGCUCCAGCUCAGAGUUCCACCUGAGCCCAGCCUUCGAGGCAUCUCUCCAGCCAAGGCCCCGUACGUUGGGUGAAACCAUCUUCUACCCUCCAGGUCAACUCAUCGCUGGUUGAAUCCCACAAGUGACCUUACUCCACACGAUGCCAUAUGGAGCAGAAGAAUCACUCAGCUGAGCCCUGCCCGAGUUCCUAACCCACAAAAUUAUAAAUUAUAACAAAAUGGUUGUUAUUUUAA